GAUGAACGCUAGCGGCAGGCCUAAUACAUGCAAGUCGAGGGGUAGUGGAGCUUGCUCCAUGAGACCGGCGCACGGGUGCGUAACGCGUAUGCAACCUACCUUAACCUGGGGGAGUAGCCCGGACGGAAAUACCGGACGUUAAUUAACCGCCAUAAAAUACACAGUACGGCAUCGUACAAUGAUCAAACAAUUCUAUGGGGUUGGGGAGUGGGCGAUGCGUGCCAUUAGUUAGUUGGC
rnacentral:rRNA from 1 species